CAUGUUGAUGCUCCACAGAAGGAAAGUUGGAACGAGUGCCACGAACAGGGGGAUCAUGGUCAGCUUGGGAUGGAAGAAGAUGACGACAUUUUUAAGACCAUUGCUGCAUUGCCUGAGAUGAUUUUCACAGUCCUGGCCUUUGAUAAAAGUGCAUAUUAUACAUGUAGAUGCUUAACCAGUCAGUCACUAGGCUUGUGAAUAUGGAAUCCGGAUGCUCACAAGAUUUAGGACAAGAACUGUAUAAAAAAAAAUGAAAUUGUGCAAGGAAAGUUUGAAGUGUUUGUUUGAAUGAUCAACAUCGAAUUUGCUGAGCCUUCGUACUAAAAGUGAAUCCGUUGGUGACGCCAAUUAUCUGUCAACCCUCU